CGAUAUAUUUGAGUGGAAUAA
rnacentral:piRNA from 1 species